AGCCGCCGGGAGCACAGCCGCGGGGCAGCCGCCGCCGGACGUAUCCGUGUCCUGGACACCGGAUGGAGGCUCAGCGUCAUUCUGUGAAUGCGGCGACUGGGGGCCGUUAGUGGGGCCCCCCGGGGGCGUGGCCGGCUGACAGACGGCGCCUCCGAGGUGCGGCGGGAGCUUGGGACGCAGUUCCGAGACGGGCUCGUGUUCAGGGGAGGAAAGAGGCCGUGUCUCCCACACGACAAAUCCUUACAGCACUGGUGUCUGGUGCCCCCUCUGCCCCAGUCGGGGUGGAAUAGAGGCCUGUGGCUUUCAAAGGAAGAGAAGGGAAAUGGGUUCUUUAUUACAUUGUUUGACGUUUCCUGGCUCAGUCAUUCAGGUGCUGGGUAACAGGCUGGUGACUGGGACAACAGACAAGUGGAGAUGAAAGAGGCAUGCACUCACUGCCCACCUGUCAGAGCGAAAGCAGCUUCUGGAACGGGAAUCCACUUCGUUUCGGCUUUCUCCUUUUUCCCAGGCCUCCUCGGACACGGUGUUGGUUUGUAAAGCUUCUGACGGUGGGAGCCAAGUGGCUUGUCCGGCCCUGGGGGGCGGGCAGUGAUGACUGAUGUCAGUGAGGGCUGACCAUUUCUCAGUUAUGUGCAGGGGGAAGCAGAGAGGAAAGCAUGCCCCGCACCGCCAGGGAAUCCGCUCCUCAUGUUCACGGUGCGCCCGGGGGGUGCUUUCUUGUGGGUGCAGGGAGAGAGGUGCAGGGGCUCCGCUGCACGGGCCGGUGGCUCCCCUGCGCUGGCCUGUCCCCACUGCCCUGCUCUGGGGCUGACCACUGAAGGUGGGCGUUGGGAAUGGCCCUCCCGGAUCUGUGUUCCUGCACGCACCUGGUCCUGUGGCUCUCAGACUUUGAUUCGGAUCCAUCUUGCUGUCCACACCCACCGGGAAACCAUGGAGGGCACAGAGCACGGGGACGUGGGGGCUUCUCAGCAGACGGUCACUGGCCUUCUAGGAAGGGGAGGCCAGGAUGAGCGGUGCAGGGAGGGGCGCGGCAAGAGCGAGUGGGCUGAGUGGGAGGGGCUGGCUGUGGACCUGGUCACACCGGCACCUGGGGAGCCGUGGGGCCUAAUGGUGGUGGGG